CGGGUUGUGGCUCAGUGGUAGAGCCCUUGCCUAGCAAGUGUGAGGCACUGGGUUCAAUCCCCGGCACCACAU
rnacentral:tRNA from 1 species